GCCGGCGUGGUGAAAUUGGUAUACACGGUAGAUUCAAAAUCUACUGGCAGCAAUGCCGUAUGGGUUCAAGUCCCAUCGCCGGUA
rnacentral:tRNA from 1 species